AUUUCGAUCGGUUGGAGAGUGGCGCACGGGUGAGUAACACGUAGCUAACCUGCCCUGAAGAGUGGGAUAACGCCCCGAAAGGGGUGCUAAUACCGCAUAAGCUCACGUUAAGUAGGUAGAUGUGAGAAAAAGUUCAGGCGCUUUGGGAGGGGGCUGCGGCCCAUCAGGUAGUUGGUAGGGUAACGGCCUACCAAGCCGACGACGGGUAGGGGACCUGAGAGGGUGACCCCCCACACUGGGACUGAGACACGGCCCAG
rnacentral:rRNA from 1 species